rnacentral:misc_RNA from 1 species
AUACACUCACCGGAGCAGACUCAACUCUCUUUUAGAUAAACUAGACGCGCAGCCUCUCAACAGCCCCCACUACAGAUUCUCUCUCACGUGCGCAGUCAUGGAAAGAGUCAUCUCUGAGCGUGCUCGCAUGCCCUUUCCCUUUCGCAUGUUGAUGACGCUGUCUACCGUCGCUGCCACUACCGUCCUUGUGCCAGAGUCGUCGGUCAAGAGCCGCAUGAUCUCCGAUCAUGUGUAGAUGUGCAGCGCAAUUGCCCUGGUGCUCUCCUUUUCCGGGCCCUACCCGAGGAAUCCCACACGGAUGCACCUUGGUCCGUGGCCCGACAGCAUUCAAGCGGCCGGCAUCAGCGCGCCAGCACCGUGGCACUACAUCGGAGCCCAUCGACAUCCCCGGCUCAAGCUUCGCCCUCGAGUUCAGCCCGGUGCCGAUGGUGAACGUUGCAUCGCUGAUUCAGAAACUCUCCGCCCCCUCCCCUUCUGUGGCGAACCCUUCAACCACCGCUCAGAUCACCGCGUAGCUGCUUUCAUGACGUAUUCACCUGGUUGGUGACGUUCACGACCCAGUGCACAGCGUGGGCCUGUAUUCGAAUGAGUACCCCGACGGCGGCGACGGCGCCAACAAUCGGGUGGUCUUCAUCGUCAUGAGCAGGACGUCUCUCGUGCUGCGCUCCUACUGAAACGGAACGGCACAAGACCAAGCAGGCUUCAACGUGGCACGUCUGCUGAGUUCAGAGAGCGACAACGGCAUUAAAGACUAGGCUGCGUAUCUCCAGGCGACCUACACGGAAGACCCUGACAGAGGCAGAGGAGAACGGUGUUAGCUUCAGAGACAUUGCAAGGGACGCGUGCGCCCUUGCCGCGAAGUGCGGGUGUCCGAGUGCGACGGGCGGCAGAGCGCUUUCGGAGGCGUGUAAGCGCCGCGCCAAAGCCGUCUCGAAGCGGCAGCUGUUACUUGUGUGAUUCCGCCCGGCGAAGGUGCUGAAUACGGCGCUCAUGGCCAUCAGCGCAGCCACCCUUAUUCACUGCAUGAAGAACGUCCCGGCAAAGAUGCUGGUGGAGGAAGGCACGACUGGUGGGACUCACUUUCAGCAGAACAGACGCAGCAGAAGGGUCUCCAGGGUUGGUAUCGCCAUCGCGUUCUUCGACGUCGGCAUGAUCACUGUCACUGACAUCGUUUUUGCUUCUGUGCGCUGUCAGCGCGAAGCAGCGCCACCUGCUACGAGUAGUGCGUUCCGACAGCGCCGGAUGCGUAGCUCUGCUCUGCUUUCCAUUGUGGGGACGGCCUUUCCGGCUCUGCUCACUUUAGAGCUUCCGUAACAGGCCCGCCGCGAGACCUUUCUCGGCCGGUGUUGUUCGGAAGCACCUGUAUCUCCCAUCCACCCCAUCCCCCUUGCCAUUGUCGGCGUGGCCCUUCCGGGCAAAUCAUUCUUUCCUUCGGCCUGACGUCGUGCGAGUAGACGAGCGCUGUGCAGAGACCGUGACGGAAACACUACGCGCGCCUCCUCUGCUCGUCCUCAUUGUUUGGCGCUUCGUUCUCCUUCUAUCGUUGCGCAGUCUUCCUUGUGCUCGGCUCACAGCGCACCAGCUGAAGCUUGUGACGAGCGUUUUUCUUUUUCGUCAGCGUGCCCACUCUGCUGCUGUGGAGCAUGAGCUAACCUCAACGCUAUCCACCGGCUCCGCCACACGUCACUCCCUCACUCCAUCGCCUGGUGCGAUGGCAGCCGUGCACACGGACUACAGCCACGCGCCGACCCCGGUCAUCGGAGCACGGCCCCUGCCUCAAACUUCUACCCACCCCCGCCAUGAGGGGCUGGUGAAGGAUCGCAGCAUGAGAGCAGGGAACGCAUGCACUGGGUUUCGCAUCGCAUCGUGUUCACGUCGGCUGUGACGGCUGAUGUUCCUUUCUGUUUUUUUUUUGUGCUCGACAUAAUGAGGGGCCGUAGCAGCCCCCAUCUGUAUCCCUGCCUGUCUUACUUCAUUUUACCGGGGGCGAGAAGGCGGGCUCUGCCCUGCAGGCCAAGUCGAUGCCACCGUCAGCCUGAUGCUCUUCGCGCAUGGUUGCACUGUAUGCUGCCACCUCGACAGCAUCAUAGCGCACAGGCAUACUUCUUUCUUACAGCUGCAUGGAUAUCCACCGAUUCAUUUUCCUUGCUUUGCCCGGUGCUGUUGUUUUGUGUUCACUGUAUGCGAACUGUGGCGUGAGCUGAUUCGCCUCGACCUCUCGCUGUGUGACAGUUUGAGAGCAGAAGUCUGACAGCAAGCAGACAAGCUCGACGUAAUAAAGGAGUGCUACCAUCCUCCGCCCCAUCCCUCCGCUUUUCUGUCCCUUCUCCUCUUCGCCAUGUCCCUCUAUCGUACCUUGGCGUUGUUCAUGAUCAUCCACGCUG